rnacentral:rRNA from 1 species
UACGUAGGGCGCGAGCGUUGUCCGGAUUUAUUGGCGUAAAGAGCUCGUAGGCGGCUCGUUGCGUCGGCUGUGAAAACCCGCAGCUCAACUGUGGCUUGCAGCUGAUACGGCGGCUGGAGUUCGGUAGGGGAGACUGGAAUUCCUGGUGUAGCGGUGAAAUGCGCAGAUAUCAGGAUGGAACACCGGUGGCGAAGGCGGUCGUCUGG